rnacentral:rRNA from 1 species
ACAACAGGGAUUGCCCUAGUAACGGCGAGUGAAGCGGCAACAGCUCAAAUUUGAAAUCUGGCUCUUUUAGAGUCCGAGUUGUAAUUUGCAGAGGGCGCUUUGGCUUUGGCAGCGGUCCAAGUUCCUUGGAACAGGACGUCACAGAGGGUGAGAAUCCCGUACGUGGUCGCUAGCUAUUGCCGUGUAAAGCCCCUUCGACGAGUCGAGUUGUUUGGGAAUGCAGCUCUAAAUGGGAGGUAAAUUUCUUCUAAAGCUAAAUACUGGCCAGAGACCGAUAGCGCACAAGUAGAGUGAUCGAAAGAUGAAAAGCACUUUGGAAAGAGAGUCAAACAGCACGUGAAAUUGUUGAAAGGGAAGCGCUUGCAGCCAGACUUGCUUGCAGUUGCUCACCCGGGCCUCUGUGCCCGGUGCAUUCUUCUGCAGGCAGGCCAGCAUCAGUUUGGGCGGUGGGAUAAAGGUCUCUGUCACGUACCUCUCUUCGGGGAGGCCUUAUAGGGGAGGCGACAUACCACCAGCCUGGACUGAGGUCCGCGCAUUUAUGCUAGGAUGCUGGCGUAAUGGCUGUAAGCGGCCCGUCUUGAAACACGGACCAAGGAGUCUAACAUCUAUGCGAGUGUUUGGGUGUCAAGCCCGAACGCGUAAUGAAAGUGAACGGAGGUGGGAACCCGCAAGGGUGCACCAUCGACCGAUCCUGAUGUCUUCGGAAGGAUUUGAGUAAGAGCAUGGCUGUUGGGACCCGAAAGAUGGUGAACUAUGCUUGAAUAGGGUGAAGCCAGAGGAAACUCUGGUGGAGGCUCGCAGCGGUUCUGACGUGCAAAUCGAUCGUCAAAUUUGGGCAUAGGGGCGAAAGACUAAUCGAACU